rnacentral:ncRNA from 1 species
AUUGUCAGAAAAUUGUUUUGAGCCAGUUGGAAAAGGUGGGUGGCCACCGAUAUCCAUCUAGAUCAAUCAUGAUAACUCUAUGGAUCGCAAAAACCUUGUGUUGGUGAUGCUUCAUUCAAAUUUCUUCCCUAUCAACUUUCGAUGGUAGGAUAGAGGCCUACCAUGGUGGUGAUGGGUGAUGGAGAAUUAGGGUUCAAUUCUGGAGAGGGAGCCUGAGAAAUGGCUACCACAUCCAAGGAAGGCAGCAUAAAUGAAAAUUACCCAAUCCUGACAUGGGGAGGUAGUGACAAUAAAUAACAAUACUGGGCUCAUCGAGUCUGGCAAUUGGAAUGAGUACAAUCUAAAUCCCUUAACAAGGAUCCAUUAGAGGGCAAGUCUGGUGCUAGCAUCCAUGGUAAUUCUAGCUCCAAU